rnacentral:rRNA from 1 species
AGGUACAGAACUUAAUCUCAGACAAGAUGUAUGUUUUUUAUGUGAAUUUCAUAUGAAAGUACAUUUUAUUUUGUAUACAUCGGGGGAUCGUGAAGAUUUUACCGGUGAGUAUGUGGACUCGAAAUGACAAAGAUGAAUCUUUAACUAUCAGACAUAGAAUGAUAAGGUUGUAUGUCAAAAGGGAAACAGCCCAGAACAAGUGUUAAGGUUCCAAAAUUAUUGUUAAGUGGAAUUAAGAAAGUUUUUAUUUAAGCCGACAAGAAGAUGGGCUUGGAAGCAGCCAUAAUUUAAAGAUCUCGUAACAGAGCACUUGUUAAAUUUUAAAAGCGUCGAAAAUUUAACGGAUCUAAACAAUAUACCGAUACCUUGUCCAUAUUUAACAAUAAAUAAUUUAUGUAUUGUUAUUUAUGGGGUAGUAGAACGUUGAGUUAAUAUUAGAUUUUUCUUUUUUAAAGAAGAUUAUAUGAUAACUCAAGUGAUAAUGGUGACAUGAGUAACGAAAAAGAAUACUUAUUAAUAGGAAGACAAUCUUGAUUUUGAAAAUUUUCAUCCAAAGAAUUUAGAAUAUAUAAACUCUCUUACAGAGAGUUUAUAUUAUAUAUUUUCUCUCACAGAGAAUUUAUAUUCUAUAUUUUCUUACAGAGAAUAUUGAUUCUAAAUGUUUUCCUACAUAGAAUUUUGAUUAUGAACAUUUUUUAUAUAGAAUUUCUAUUUUGAAAAAUUUUUCAGUAUUUCUAUUUUGAAAAAUAUUUCAUAAUUUUUAAUCUGAAAAAUAUCUUAAAGUUAAUUUUCAAGAAAAAUNUUUUUGNCUUAUUAAUAAGUAUCUCGCCUAAAGCUUAUGGAUUGGAAAAGUAACGGCCUCUAAGUUUAUAAUCUGAAGGUUAUGACGAUGAGAAAAUCUUAUUACUUUAAGGACAACAUUUUUGAGUGGAAAGUGUGCUGGAAAAAAUAAGUAGUANAUACUUGANCCGUACCUAAAAACAGAUACAUGUAAGCUAG